AAAGCCCACCUGACUAUUGACCUUCGACCUGAUGGUGAAUACUAAAACUGAGGUUGAAACAAGCAAAGAAAGGCGAUAUGGAGGACAGAAAAAAAUGUAGAAUUUUAUAUCUUCCCAAAUUCAUAUCUUGAGAAACAUUUUAAGAGUAUUUGAAAACAAUUGAGACAGCAAAAGACACAAGCGUCAACUUCAGAAGUUUUACACCAAAAGCAGAAAAAUUUUGUUGCAGCGAAAUCUAUAGCGAGUAGAAGCAGGGACUCACUGAUUUCAUAUGGACCAAUUAAAAGCCAGCAAGCCAAGCAGAGUACCUAGUCCACAUAUGUCAGAAUGAAUGAGUCUUAUUUCAAUAGCGCCCUCUAUGAUAGUGUCUGGAGUGCAGUUGAAACAUUGAAUAAAACUCGCUAUUCAACAUCAAUGAUGAAAGAUACGACCAGCAUUGGAAGAGCUGCAGUCCUGUGAUGAUCCAAAUGGGCAACAGUUGGCUGGCUGUAAAUGUCAUUUAGUCUUUAAGUGGACAGAUGAAAAAUUUGAAAAAGUCAACUA